rnacentral:lncRNA from 1 species
UGAAAUAGAUCAGGAGGUUUUUUGUCCAUGAUUAACAGGAAAAGGAAAAAAUUAUUAGUAUAACAAUAAUAAUCCUUCUACAUUCCCUAGGUGGAUGGAUUGAAACCAAAAAUGAGGGUUGAGAGAGGAUAAAGGAUGGUUUUUGGGUUAAAUUUUGUCGUUGUUUCCUAGGAAGAAAAAUCUACAAAUAUUUUAGUUUGUUUUAAGGUCUGGAAGUGGAUAGAAUUGUUUGAUACCUGAAAUAAAUCAGAAAGGAGGGUUCUUUUGUCCGUGACUAACAAGAAAGAGAGGUAAUUAUAAAACAUCCUUCUACAUCCCUCAGGUGGAUGGCUUGAAUCGAUAAUAUAUAAAAAUGAGGAGAAAAUGAGAUUCCUCUUUAGGUCUGAUUAUCAUUGUAUUUUAGGAUAGAACCACAGGGAAGAGAAGUUGUAGGAUAGAAUGAAGGAACAGAAAACUGAAAGAGGUAACUACCAAGUACCUUUGCAAAGGUUGCUUCCGAAUAAUUUAUGGAAACAAUCUUAAAAUUCCUAGAUUACGAAAAACAAUUUUCGUCUUUUUAAAAGAUAAAACAAAAAAAAAGUUUUGGUAGUGAAGUGUUUGCACCGCAGUCUUUCUUUAGUUUUUGUAAGAUGUCUGGUAAUCUCUUAAAACUUGUCCAGGUAGCCCAAGGGCACCUUUUGACGACUUAAUUCAGAGACUGGUGGCACUAAAGAUUAGUGACGAUAAGCAUCGGAAAUCACCUGCCAUUGUCUCUAUAGAUAUUCCAUCUGGAUGGCACAUGGAAGAAGGAGAUCUAAGUGGUGAAGGUGUUAAACCUGACAUGCUGGAGAAAUCACCUGCCAUCGUCUCUAUAGAUAUUCCAUCUGGAUGGCACGUGGAAGAAGGAGAUUUAAGUGGUGAAGGUGUUAAACCUGACAUGCUGGUAUGUAUCUGUUUUUGUUGUUUGUGUUUAAUAUCUGGAUCGCCUUACUGUUUUGACUUUCCUUUAAUUUUGAGCACCUAAC